rnacentral:rRNA from 1 species
AACGAACGCUGGCGGCAUGCCUAACACAUGCAAGUCGAACGAGACCUUCGGGUCUAGUGGCGCACGGGUGCGUAACGCGUGGGAACCUGCCUUUAGGUUCGGAAUAACUCAGAGAAAUUUGAGCUAAUACCGGAUAAUGUCUUCGGACCAAAGAUUUAUCGCCUUUAGAUGGGCCCGCGUUGGAUUAGCUAGUUGGUGGGGUAAAGGCCUACCAAGGCGACGAUCCAUAGCUGGUCUGAGAGGAUGAUCAGCCACACUGGGACUGAGACACGGCCCAGACUCCUACGGAGGCAGCAGUGGGAAUAUUGGAC